GUACAGGGUGUGGUUGCUGUCUAUGUGGAG
rnacentral:piRNA from 1 species